GACGAACGCUGGCGGCGCGCCUAACACAUGCAAGUCGAACGGAGCUGAGAGAAGCUUGCUUUUCUUAGCUUAGUGGCGAACGGGUGAGUAACGCGUGAGUAACCUGCCCUGGAGUGGGGGACAACAGUUGGAAACGACUGCUAAUACCGCAUAAGCCCACGAUCCGGCAUCGGAUUGAGGGAGAAGGAUUUAUUCGCUUCAGGAUGGACUCGCGUCCAAUUAGCUAGUUGGUGAGGUAACGGCCCACCAAGGCGACGAUUGGUAGCCGGACUGAGAGGUUGAACGGCCACAUUGGGACUGAGACACGGCCCAGACUCCUACGGGAGGCAGCAGUGGGGGAUAUUGCACAAUGGGGGAAACCCUGAUGCAGCGACGCCGCGUGGAGGAAGAAGGUUUUCGGAUUGUAAACUCCUGUCGUUAGGGACGAUAAUGACGGUACCUAACAAGAAAGCACCGGCUAACUACGUG
rnacentral:rRNA from 1 species